UGUUUGUUUAAAAUAUGUGCACGCUGCUCUGUGUUUGUAUUAGAGAAAACAGGUCGAAGACAUGUACCUGGCACUUGGAAUGAUAAUGAGGUUCAUUCCACACAAACCCCAACAGCUCUGUCUCCUCAGAGAUGAGCUUUACUCUUAUGGUAGGAAGUGCCACUGUGACUAAGGAGAGAAGUUGUCAAGCAUGGUCCUUAACCCAGAGCUUUAGGUGAUCUUCUAGAUAAGCUGGGCGUCAGCCACUGAGCACCUUGAAGGUAAGGACCAAGACGUUGAACUUGACUCAAUACCGUAUGAGAAGAUAGUGUAGAGAAAAGAGGCCAGAUGUGAUAUGCACACUAUAGACAGUGCUGUUGAGGAGAUGUGCUGAUGGUUUCAUUCCCAGGAAUAUUGCAUUGCUGUAGUCUAAGGUGAGGUGACAAAGGCAUGCAUAGCCAAGGCCAGGUCAUAUUUCCCCAGGAUAAGAGGGAAUCUCCUCACCAACCGGAAAUGGUAAAAAGCAUUACUCCUGGAUGCCACUGUGUGGGACAUGGAUGUCAGCAAGGAAUCCAAGAGCACUCCUAAAGUACAGACUGAAUUGUGGGUCUAUGCCGUCACCAAAGGAGACUGCACUGUGUCUGUAAACUCUUCAAAAUGCUUUCUUUUGCCCAUUGUAGGCCUGGGUUGGCACGAGUAUUAAACACAGGGAGGCCUUGUUUCUUGGAAGACAGGAUUAGGGAGGUAGCGAGAUCAGCAGCCUGAAAACAGAAUGUUUGUGCUAGGAUUAGUAAACAGGCCAGUGAGCUAAAAGACAGACUGUCUGUGCUAGCUAAGAUAAGAGGGGGAGCACCCAGGGAACCGUUUACUAAGAACAAGAUAACAGACAAGAGAGGUUGGGAGUGUAAAAAUGAGGUAAAGUUGACCAUGGACAGUGCAUGGACAGAGCAUGUUAUACAGGAAUUGAUUCCUGCAAAGUAACCAAGCCAAUCCCAAAACAUGAUGCAAGGUCUGUGGGGAGAAUAGGCUGUACAGGCAAAGCUCCAAUCGAGCCACAGAAAUGUUGAUAUUUAUGAGCAGACCGCUGGGGGCACAGAGGAGAAGGGCUAUAAAAGGGACUUGCAGCAGCGCCAUGUGAAAGCCAAGAAGCCGUAGCAGGCAUACCAGAAGGUAAGGGAGGCUAACAAUUGCUCUGGUGUGGACCUGCCACUUUUACAAAGAGCUGCAUGUCAUCCUGAGACAAGACCCUACCCCCAAGAACCCCAAGGAUACUUCAGAGGAGCCUGCGUCGGCGGCCCCCUGCCAUGAACAGCAAGGAGGAGUUGGUGGACGAGGAAGAGGAGGAGUAUGGGGGACAGGUGACCAGGACAUGUCUUGACUCCAGCUCAGCGAGCCAGGACAUGUUUUGACUCCAACGCAGUCCAGCCAGUCACUACAGUCCAGUAGCAGUGAUCCUGAUGCAGGAGAAGCAACCUCUGGCAAGAGUUGUAGAUGUGGCCUUGAGGGUCUCUCCAUCCACACCAGUGGAAUGGCGGAGCCAGAUAAGGAGGAGGAAGAGGAUUUGGGAUGACGUGUUCCAAGAGAGCCUGCAAGGCUCUGCUGCUUCAGGUAACAAGCACGGGGCUUGGAGGAUCACCCUCGCAGACAGCAUGACCAGGGAUAGAGUGGAGCAGAGAAAGGCACAGGAAAGGAAGAGGGAAGCGCAGCAGGAGAUGCUUGCACUUCUCAGGUAGCAAACAGACAUGCUGCAGACACUGGUGGACCUGCAGAUUCAACAAUCCCAUGCUUGCCUCCCUCUGCAGCCCAUAGAGAACUGCAUAUCGGGACCUCCCUACAUACACCCCCUCCACAGUCAGCACGGCAUCAGGGGCCACUGCACUACUCCUACCACUCCACCCCUGGGGACGUUAAAGACAUUCACAGCCUCACACACACAGAACCGUGAAAAAUAUGGUUGGUGUAUGUGUAUCUGAAAUGGAAAUGACUGUUCGUUCCCCUUCAUAAGUUCUUGUCUCUUAAGUUAUAAAUGUUUUUCUAUUUGCAUUACUAUGGCAUAAAAGUCUGUUUUUGGAAACAUAA